UAUUGAACAGGAACGAUUUAUCAUGGAUAGGCACCUUCUUUAUUGCAAUGGAUGGGACGUUUCGGUGUAGAUGCUGACACCUCACUUGUUGACAAUGGUGU